rnacentral:rRNA from 1 species
UACGGAGGGUGCAAGCGUUAAUCGGAAUUACUGGGCGUAAAGGGUGCGUAGGUGGUCUGAUAAGUUAUCUGUGAAAUCCCUGGGCUCAACCUGGGCAGGUCAGAUAAUACUGUUAGACUCGAGUAUGGGAGAGGGUAGUGGAAUUUCCGGUGUAGCGGUGAAAUGCGUAGAGAUCGGAAGGAACACCAGUGGCGAAGGCGGCUACCUGGCCUAAUACUGACACUGAGGCACGAAAGCGUGGGAGCAAACAGG